UACGUAGGGUGCAAGCGUUAAUCGGAAUUACUGGGCGUAAAGCGUGCGUAGACGGUUACAUAAGUCGGGUGUGAAAGCCCCGGGCUCAACCUGGGAAUUGCAUUCGAGACUGCGUAGCUAGGGUGCGGAAGAGGGAAGCGGAAUUUCCGGUGUAGCGGUGAAAUGCGUAGAUAUCGGAAGGAACACCAGUGGCGAAAGCGGCUUCCUGGUCCAGCACCAACGUCAGGCACGAAAGCGUGGGGAGCAAACAGG
rnacentral:rRNA from 1 species